rnacentral:lncRNA from 1 species
CUCCAUAAAGAAUAAUCGUUGCUCAUAUGUUGUGUUAAAUAAAAUAUUUAAAUUAAAUGCCGUUCUCGGUGGCUUAAGCUUUUGAAGGAUAACAGCUAAAGUAGAAUUGUUGCUCAUAUGUUGUGUUGAAUAUAUUUAAACACUGUUUUCGGUGGCUUAAGCUUUUGGAGGAUAACGGUUGUGUUAUCUUUGUAGUGGAGUAGAAGAUCCUGCCUUCGAGUUCCACCAGACUCAUAGUCUAAUUUAAUUUCCUGCCAUUUACUUUUUAGUUUGCGUCUUGGGCAUAUCACAAUGUCCCGAGCUCAAAUGUGAGUGAGGGUGUCGAAUAUAUAAUAUGAAAGCAACGUUCUUUGGUAGUUUAAGUUUUUGGAUAAUAAUAGUUUGUUUUACUUGCUUAUCAGAGGAGGUGAUCCUGCGUUCUAGUUCCACCAGGCUAUUAAGUCUAAUUUAAUUUCCUCUCAUCUUAUUUUAUUUAAAGUUCAUUCCUUGUGCCUAUCAAAAUGCCUCGAGCCUGGAUGUAAGGGGGAGUGUUAAAUAUAUGAUAUCAAAAUACCGUACUCUGGUAGCUUAAGGGUUCGGAGAAUAAUAGUUCUUUACCUUCGUAUCAGAGCAGGAGGUUCUGCUAUCGAGUUCCACUAGACUCCUACGUCUAACCAUUUUAUUUGAGUCCGUGUAUUGGGCAUAUAUAAUAUCAAAUCAUCGUUCUUUGGUAGUUUAAGCUAUUGGAGAAUAUAGUUAUGUUACCUUUGUAUCAGAGGAGGAGGUUCUAUGUCUACUCUAAUUUAAUUUCCUCUUAUUUAAUUUAAGUCCACAUCUUGGGCCUAUCAAAAUGUUUUGAGUCCGGACGUGAGGGGGAGUGUUGAAUAUAUAAUAUUAAAAUACCAUUCUCUGAUAGCUUAAGUUUUAGGAAAAUAAUGGUUGUUUCACAUUUGUUAACAUGUUGUCUACUUAUGAUUAUUUUUUGUUAUGACUUUAGCAUUAUGAAAGUUCCUUCUUUAGGGUUUUUCUUUAUGGCAGCUUAAGCUUUACUGUGAUCGGUAAACUCUUUUGAUCUACACAAUCAGGCAAAGAAGUGAAAUUGUGGAUUUGUUCCUUAAUUGUUUGAAUAAUUAACAAUACCCCUUUGAAUUUUUGGAACUUGAAAAUUUACACCUCGCACUCACUUAUAUUUGGCUUUUUAAUGUUAAAAUGAUUCUGCUGCUCCUAGAAAAUAUCUUGUAAAUAUUGUUGAUGCCACUUCUCAUUACUAAUUUCCGUGCUCUCUCUCUCUCUCUCUCUCUCUCUCUCUCUCUCUCUCUCUCACCCCCUCAUGUCAUUCUAUUUGGAAGUUGGAUAAGGUUGAGAAUUAAAACCUUUGGGGGACAAAUCCGCUAUUUCUGUACUUUGUAGGGUAUAGACGCAUUAUUGCAUUUGGCCAUUGGCUAUUCCGAAACUGAUUUAACUUAUACCUGAUGAAUAUCUUGUUUGUCCAUAAAUAGUUUUAAGGGUAAAUUGCAUUGUUACCCCCUGAACUUUUGGCGAAGUUUUACUUUAUCCCUCGAACUUCUAAAAUGGACAUCUAACCCCCUAAACUCUAAUAUUUCGUUCAUGUUACUCCUUCCAUCAGUUUUCCGUCAAGUUUCGUUAAAGGAAACUGACGGAAGGGGUAAAAUGAAUGAAAUAUUAGAGUUUAGGGUGUUAGAUGUCUAUUUUAGGAGUCCGGGGGGUUAAGUGAAACUCGCCAAAAGUUCAAGGGGUAACAAUGCAAUUUACCCAAAUUUUUACUAUAAAUUAUUUUUAUAUUAAAAAUUUCUAAUUGGCUGAAAUGAAGUACAAAAAUUUUAUUUAAGUGUAUUUUAUAGAACAAUGGUUCUAAAGAUAAAAGGGACAAACGAGUACUACAGAAAAUUAACUGAGAAUUAAAAUCUCUAUAUCCGAGUGAGGACACUUAUUGUAAAUCAACCAUAUUAGCGAGUAUACCAGGAUAGUAGAGUGUUCGAGCAUCAUAGGUAGUUAGUAUCGCUCUUUUUUUAUCUUUAAGCCACUCUAAUUCAUUUCUUUCACUUUUAUUUUAUUACAAUAAAAUGUAGGAUAAAUUAUGGUAUGAUUUAUUUUAGGAUAAAAAAUAUAUAUAAAUUCAAAAUCAAGAAUGAUCACUAACUUGAGGAUUAGUAGUCAAUCCAUAAGUAACAUAUUAUAAUAAAAUAAUUUAUAGUCAAGAGUCCCCUACGGAGUAAAUUGCACUACUACCUCCUGAAUUUUUGGCGAGUUUCACUUAACCCCCCAAACUUCUAAAAUAGACAUCUAACACCCUAAACUCUAAUAUUUCAUUUGUUUUACCCCUUUCGUCAGUUUCCGGUUAACGGAGCUUGAAGGAAAACUGACGGAAGGAGUAACAUGAACGAAAUAUUAGAGUUUAGGGGGUUAGAUGUCGAUUUUAGGAGUUCGAGGGGUAAAGUGAAACUUCGCCAAAAGUUCAGGGGGGAACAAUGCAAUUUACCCAUAGUUUUAACAACAUUUGCAAACUUAAUCUAGCUGCAAUAUUUGUACAUUAUAUUGGAAUGUCAAAAUAUUAUUUAAUGAGAGGAAAAUUCGCAUGGGCCUCUGCAGGAC